GGGGAAUCUUGCGCAAUGCGCGAAAGCGUGACGCAGCAACGCCGCGUGCGGGAAGAAGGCCUUAGGGUUGUAAACCGCUUUCAGUUGGGACGAAGCUCCAGGGGUUAAUAGCCAGUUGGAGUGACGGUACCUUCAGAAGAAGCUCCGGCUAACUACGUGCCAGCAGCCGCGGUAAUACGUAGGGGGCGAGCGUUGUCCGGAAUCAUUGGGCGUAAAGCGCGUGUAGGCGGUUCAGUAAGUCUGCUGUGAAAGUCCAGGGCUCAACCCUGGGAUGCCGGUGGAUACUGCUGAACUAGAGUCUGGAAGGGGCGAGUGGAAUUCCUGGUGUAGCGGUGGAAUGCGCAGAUAUCAGGAGGAACACCUAUGGCGAAGGCAGCUCGCUGGGACAGUACUGACGCUGAGACGCGAAAGCGUGGGGAGCAAAC
rnacentral:rRNA from 1 species